rnacentral:rRNA from 1 species
GCUUAGAAGUAAACCAAGGCAGCAAUCCCACCCCACUGCCCGCCAGAGUACUACAAGCGAAAAGCUUAAAACUCAAAGGACUUGACGGCAUUCCACACCACACUAGAGGAGCCUGUCCUAUAAUCGAUAACCCACGUUCAACCCCACCUGUUCUCGCACAAAUCUCAGCCUAUAUACCGCCGUCUACAGCCCGCCUUACAAAAGACCUCACAGCGAGCAAACCAGUCUAACACUAACACGUCAGGUCAAGGUGUAGCUAACGAACAGGAAGAGAUGGGCUACAUUUUCUAUCAAAAAAAGAAAACUACCGUCCGCACCAUGAAACAGGCACACAAAGGAGGAUUUAGCAGUAAGCCACGCAAGCCUGCCUGACUGAACCCAGCCCUGGAAUGUGU